UGGGGAAUAUUGGACAAUGGGCGCAAGCCUGAUCCAGCCAUGCCGCGUGAGUGAUGAAGGCCCUAGGGUUGUAAAGCUCUUUCACCGGUGAAGAUAAUGACGGUAACCGGAGAAGAAGCCCCGGCUAACUCCGUGCCAGCAGCCGCGGUAAUACGAAGGGGGCUAGCGUUGUUCGGAUCUACUGGGCGUAAAGCGCACGUAGGCGGACUAUUAAGUCAGGGGUGAAAUCCCGGGGCUCAACCCCGGAACUGCCUUUGAUACUGGUAGUCUUGAGUUCGAGAGAGGUGAGUGGAAUUCCGGGUGUAGAGGUGAAAUUCGUAGAUAUUCGGAGGAACACCAGUGGCGAAGGCGGCUCACUGGCUCGAUACUGACGCUGAGGUGCGAAAGCGUGGGGAGCAAACAGG
rnacentral:rRNA from 1 species